rnacentral:rRNA from 1 species
GACGAACGCUGGCGGCGUGCCUAACACAUGCAAGUCGAACGGAGUAUGUAGCAAUAUAUACUUAGUGGCGAACGGGUGAGUAACGCGUAGAUAACCUACCGAACAGAUGGGGACAACACUGCGAAAGUGGUGCUAAUACCGAAUAACCUAUUAACCUCGCAUGAGGAAGAUAGCAAAGAUGGCCUCUCCAAGGAAGCUGUCGCUGUUUGAAGGGUCUGCGUCUGAUUAGCUAGUUGGAGGAGUAAAAGCCCCCCAAGGCGAUGAUCAGUAGCCGGUCUGAGAGGAUGAACGGCCACACUGGGACUGAGACACGGCCCAGACUCCUACGGGAGGCAGCAGUGGGGGAUCUUCCGCAAUGGACGAAAGUCUGACGGAGCAACGCCGCGUGAGUGAAGAAGGCCCUCGGGUCGUAAAGCUCUGUCGAGUGGGAAGAAAGAGCUAUAUGUGAAUAGCGUAUAGAAGUGACGGUACCACAAGAGGAAGCCACGGCUAACUACGUGCCAGCCGCCGCUGUAAAAC